rnacentral:rRNA from 1 species
CCCUUAGAUGUCCUGGGCUGCACGCGCGCUACACUGAUGUGUCCAGUAAGCACCUAACCUCUUCCGAAAGGAACGGGUAACCUUUGCAAAGCACAUCGUGAUGGGGAUAGAUUAUUGCAAUUAUUGGUCUUCAACGAGGAAUUCCUAGUAGACGUAGUUCAUCAGACUGCAUCGAUUACGUCCCUGCCCUUUGUACACACCGCCCGUCGCUCCUACCGAUUGAAUGCUCAGGUGAGCCAUUCGGACUUUCAUCAUGCUGGUUUCCAGUUUUGAUGAAGGAAAGUCUUGCGAACCUUAUCAUUUAGAGGAAGGAGAAGUCGUAACA